rnacentral:rRNA from 1 species
UACGUAGGGGGCUAGCGUUGUCCGGAAUCAUUGGGCGUAAAGCGCGUGUAGGCGGCCCGGUAAGUCCGCUGUGAAAGUCGGGGGCUCAACCCUCGAAAGCCGGUGGAUACUGUCGGGCUCGAGUGCGGAAGAGGCGAGUGGAAUUCCUGGUGUAGCGGUGAAAUGCGCAGAUAUCUGGAGGAACACCGGUGGCGAAGGCGGCAUCCUGGACCGGUAUUGACGCUGAGGCGCGAAAGCUAGGGGAGCAAACGGG